rnacentral:sRNA from 1 species
UCGUGUUGCUGGACGAAGCGGGCAAGAU